rnacentral:tRNA from 1 species
AAGACAUUAGUAAAACGUAGAUUACAUUACCUUGUCAAGGUAAAAUCGUAGGUUAGACCCCUGCAUGUCUUA